AAUAAUACAAUUUUUUUGAUCGAAUUAAUAAUUUUCUAAAUAAAAACACAAAUUCGUCUAACAAAUUGGCAAUAUGAUUAAUGCCAUAAUAAUUUAACUAAGAAAUUAAUUAUUAAAAUAUUUUCGCUAGUACAAUCGAUUUGUAUUCGAGUAAUCGAUGCACUCCGACCGUUUCCGCGAAAGUAGCGAACUCUAUAUCGAUUCCACUUGCAUUCGAAACAAUAGUACAUAAACGAGAAUCGUCCAUGUUUGUUAGCGUCGUCGCGACAACAGACUUGUGUGUUUCGAAAAAGGCGAACGAAGCCAACUGUGCGGUCCGUUUACCGAGAGCUCCGUAUUCCCCAGUGUAUACUAAAACCAUCGAUCGCGUUUUGCAUGAAUGAUUUCGCGGAGGGACACGAGAAAAGAGGACCAUGGUCGUCUGGCGGAAAAGAACGAAGAUCGAAGAGAAAUUUCGGGAAGGCAUCGGUGAAAUAGAAGGGGAAUUGGAAGUAGUAAAGUCUGUGUCGUUCGGCAUUCAGAAUGCAGAAAAGGAGCGAGGAAAGAGGAGAAUGUAGGGUGGCUCGGCAGUUUGCGUGCAUGUGUUUCUCGUUCGUCCCUAUGCACAAGGAGAGAAGAAGAGUCCAGAGAACGCGAGUCGACCAUAGAGGAAAAGGAAGAAUUAUCGAAGCGUGCCCGUGGUCGGACAGAGAUAAUCGUGCCUAUACCGGCUACGGAUAGAGUGAAACGGAAGAAAAGGAGAACGUGAAACGGUUCGCCGAGGAGGCUGGUCAAUGGUAGGCCGGCUAUCGGAACACCCUUCUCGAAAACAAAGCCGGAUCUCACCUUGAUUUAUCGCUGAGUGCUGCCGCGGUGCUGUGUGUUCUGCUCCAGACCAGGCUGUAGCCGGGGUGAAUUCCCCGGCGAAAAUUAAUCCAUUAUCAGGUAAACGAAGACGGAAUAACUGCGAUUACGGAGUUCAGAAAUCACCACUCUUCUCUACACGAAACCUCGUCGCUUCUUCCGUGUAUUUUAUAUCUUUUUUCUGCCUAGUUGCCCGCCACCAGACGGCUAACCUCGGUCCGUUGGAGUUCUGUGUA